CAGCCGCCACGGUAAUACAGAGGGUGCGAGCGUUAAUCGGAUUUACUGGGCGUAAAGCGUGCGUAGGCGGCUUCUUAAGUCGGAUGUGAAAUCCCUGAGCUUAACUUAGGAAUUGCAUUCGAUACUGGGAAGCUAGAGUAUGGGAGAGGAUGGUAGAAUUCCAGGUGUAGCGGUGAAAUGCGUAGAGAUCUGGAGGAAUACAGAUGGCGAAGGCAGCCAUCUGGCCUAAUACUGACGCUGAGGUACGAAAGCAUGGGGAGCAAACAGGAUUAGAUACCCGUGUAGUCCCUGUCUCUUAUAC
rnacentral:rRNA from 1 species